ACGCUAGCGGUAGGCCUAAUACAUGCAAGUCGAACGGUCAGUAGCAAUACUGAUAGUGGCGCACGGGUGCGUAACACGUAACUAACCUACCCAUCAUUGGGGGAUAGCCCGCCGAAAGGCGGAUUAAUACCGCAUAAGGCUAUAGAGCGGCAUCGCUUAGUAGUUAAAGAUUUAUUGAUGAUGGAUGGGGUUGCGGGUCAUUAGCUAGUUGGUAAGGUAACGGCUUACCAAGGCGACGAUGACUAGGGGAGCUGAGAGGCUGGUCCCCCACACGGGCACUGAGAUACGGGCCCGACUCCUACGGGAGGCAGCAGUAGGGAAUAUUGGGCAAUGGGCGAGAGCCUGACCCAGCCAUGCCGCGUGCAGGAAGAAGGCUUUCUGAGUCGUAAACUGCUUUUGACAGGGAAGAAUAAGCUGUACGUGUACAGUGAUGACGGUACCUGCAGAAUAAGCACCGGCUAACUCCGUGCCAGCAGCCGCGGUAAUACGGAGGGUGCGAGCGUUGUCCGGAUUUACUGGGUUUAAAGGGUGCGUAGGCGGCUUUUUAAGUCUGGGGUGAAAGCCCGCUGCUCAACAGCGGAACUGCCCUGGAUACUGGAGAGCUUGAGUACAGACGAGGUUGGCGGAAUGGACAGAGUAGCGGUGAAAUGCAUAGAUACUGUCCAGAACCCCGAUUGCGAAGGCAGCUGACUAGGCUGUUACUGACGCUCAGGUGCGAAAGCGUGGGGAGCAAAC
rnacentral:rRNA from 1 species